rnacentral:RNase_P_RNA from 1 species
GAGGAAAGUCCGGGCUCCCAUACAACUUGAUAGCUGGAUAAAUUCCAGUGUAGGUGACUACGAGGAAAGUGCCACAGAAAUAAACCGCCUUAAAUUGUUUUUAUAAGGCAAGGGUGCAAAGGUGCGGUAAAAGCUCACCAGAAAUAGUUGUAAAAUAUUUGCUAGGUAAACCCCAUGAAGGAGCAAAGUUAUAAAUGUUUUUUAAUUUAAUUAAAUACAUUUUCUGUUUACUGCAAAAAGUUUUAUGAUUAAUAAACUUCAGAUAAAUAACUACCCUUAUAUAUGCAUUUUCAUGUUAUUAAGAACAAAACCCGGCUUAU